UACGUAGGGGGGCGAGCGUUGUCCGGAUUUAUUGGGCGUAAAGAGCGUGUAGGCGGCCAGGUAGGUCUGCUGUGAAAACUCGAGGCUCAACCUCGAGACGUCGGCGGAAACCAUCUGGCUAGAGUCCGGAAGAGGAGAGUGGAAUUCCUGGUGUAGCGGUGAAAUGCGCAGAUAUCGUAAGGAAGACCAGUGGCGAAGGCGGGUCUCUGGACAGUUCCUGACACUGAGACACGAAGGCCAGGGGAGCAAACGGG
rnacentral:rRNA from 1 species